rnacentral:rRNA from 1 species
GUCGACCGCCUGGGGAGUACGGCCGCAAGGUUAAAACUCAAAUGAAUUGACGGGGGCCCGCACAAGCGGUGGAGCAUGUGGUUUAAUUCGAUGCAACGCGAAGAACCUUACCUACUCUUGACAUCCACGGAAUUUGGCAGAGAUGCCUUAGUGCCUUCGGGAACCGUGAGACAGGUGCUGCAUGGCUGUCGUCAGCUCGUGUUGUGAAAUGUUGGGUUAAGUCCCGCAACGAGCGCAACCCUUAUCCUUUGUUGCCAGCGAUU